GACCUGGCUCACACCGGUUUAAACUCAGAUCAUGUAAAAUUUUAAAGGUCGAACAGACCUUCCUCACUAGCUUCUACUCCAGUAAUAAAUUUUAAUCCAACAUCGAGGUCGCAAUCAAUUUUUUCGAUAAGAACUCUAAAAAAAAUUACGCUGUUAUCCCUAAGGUAAUUUAAUCUUUUAAUCUAAAUACAAGGAUCAUAAAUAUACAAAUAAAUACUCAAAUAAAAAAAAAGUUAACCCAAUUUUCCUGUCGCCCCAACAAAAUAAAUACUUUUCAUCUGUUUAAUAAAAACCUACUAUCCAAAUAUACAAAUAAAUAUAAAACUCUAUAGGGUCUUCUCGUCUUCAAUACAAAUUUAAGCUUUUUAACUUAAAAAUAAAAUUCUAAUAAAUUUUCAUAGAGACAGCCACUCUUUCAUCAAACCCUUCAUACAAGCUUUCAAUUAAAAAACUAGUGACUAUGCUACCUUUGCACGGUCAAUAUACCGCGGCCAUUUAACCCCUCAGUGGGCAGGUCARACUUGAAAUCAUAAUCAACAAGCC
rnacentral:rRNA from 1 species